CCUACGGGUGGCAGCAGUGGGGAAUAUUGGGCAAUGGGCGCAAGCCUGACCCAGCAACGCCGCGUGAAGGAAGAAGGCUUUCGGGUUGUAAACCUCUUUUCUCAGGGACGAAGCAAGUGACGGUACCUGAGGAAUAAGCCACGGCUAACUACUGGCCAGCAGCCGCGGUAAUACGUAGGUGGUAAGCGUUAUCCGGAUUUAAUGGGUGUAAAGGGGAUGUAGGCGGGACUUCAAGGCAGAGGGGAAAACCAAGGGGUCAAACUGUGGCCUGCAUUUGAAACUGUAGUUCUUGAGUACUGGAGAGGCAGACGGAAUUCCUAGUGUAGCGGUGAAAUGCAUAGAUAUUAGGAGGAACUCCAGUGGCGAAGGCAGUCUGCUGGACAGCAACUGACGCUGAGGCGCGAAAGCGUGGGGAUCAAACAGGAUUAGAUACCCCAGUAGUC
rnacentral:rRNA from 1 species